UACGUAGGGUGCGAGCGUUAAUCGGAAUUACUGGGCGUAAAGCGUGCGCAGGCGGUUUUGUAAGCCAGGUGUGAAAUCCCCGGGCUCAACCUGGGAAUGGCAUUUGGGACUGCAAGGCUGGAGUGCGGCAGAGGAGACUGGAAUUCCUGGUGUAGCAGUGAAAUGCGUAGAUAUCAGGAGGAACACCGAUGGCGAAGGCAGGUCUCUGGGCUGACACGUGACGCUCAUGCACGAAAGCGUGGGGAGCAAACAGG
rnacentral:rRNA from 1 species